UACGUAGGGCGCAAGCGUUGUCCGGAAUUAUUGGGCGUAAAGAGCUCGUAGGCGGCUCAGUAAGUCGGGUGUGAAACCUCCAGGCUCAACCUGGAGACGCCACCCGAUACUGCUGUGGCUAGAGUCCAGUAGGGGAGCGUGGAAUUCCUGGUGUAGCGGUGAAAUGCGCAGAUAUCAGGAGGAACACCAGCGGCGAAGGCGGCGCUCUGGGCUGGCACUGACGCUGAGGAGCGAAAGCGUGGGGAGCGAACAGG
rnacentral:rRNA from 1 species